UACGUAGGGGGCAAGCGUUAUCCGGAAUUACUGGGUGUAAAGGGAGCGUAGACGGUAAUGUAAGUCUGGAGUGAAAGGCGGGGGCCCAACCCCCGGACUGCUCUGGAAACUAUGUUACUAGAGUGCAGGAGAGGUAAGCGGAAUUCCUAGUGUAGCGGUGAAAUGCGUAGAUAUUAGGAGGAACACCAGUGGUGAAGGCGGCUUACUGGACUGUAACUGACGUUGAGGCUCGAAAGCGUGGGGAGCAAACAGG
rnacentral:rRNA from 1 species